UGGGGAAUAUUGCACAAUGGGCGAAAGCCUGAUGCAGCAACGCCGCGUGAGUGAUGAAGGUCUUCGGAUUGUAAAGCUCUGUCUUUUGGGACGAUAAUGACGGUACCAAAGGAGGAAGCCACGGCUAACUACGUGCCAGCAGCCGCGGUAAUACGUAGGUGGCGAGCGUUGUCCGGAUUUACUGGGCGUAAAGGGUGCGUAGGCGGAUGUUUAAGUGAGAUGUGAAAUACCCGGGCUUAACUUGGGUGCUGCAUUUCAAACUGGAUAUCUAGAGUGCAGGAGAGGAGAAUGGAAUUCCUAGUGUAGCGGUGAAAUGCGUAGAGAUUAGGAAGAACACCAGUGGCGAAGGCGAUUCUCUGGACUGUAACUGACGCUGAGGCACGAAAGCGUGGGUAGCAAACAGGAUUAGAUACCCUGGUAGUCCACGCCGUAAACGAUGAGUACUAGGUGUAGGAGGUAUCGACCCCUUCUGUGCCGCAGUAAACACAUUAAGUACUCCGCCUGGGAAGUACGAUCGCAAGG
rnacentral:rRNA from 1 species